AGAGUUUGAUCCUGGCUCAGGAUGAACGCUGGCGGCGUGCUUAACACAUGCAAGUCGAGCGAAGCGAAUCUUCGGAAGUUUUCGGAUGGAUUAGGAUUUGACUUAGCGGCGGACGGGUGAGUAACGCGUGGGUAACCUGCCUUACACUGGGGGAUAACAGUUAGAAAUGACUGCUAAUACCGCAUAAGCGCACAGGGCCGCAUGGUCUGGUGUGAAAAACUCCGGUGGUGUAAGAUGGACCCGCGUCUGAUUAGGUAGUUGGUGGGGUAACGGCCCACCAAGCCGACGAUCAGUAGCCGACCUGAGAGGGUGACCGGCCACAUUGGGACUGAAACACGGCCCAAACUCCCACGGGAGGCAGCAGUGGGGAAUAUUGGACAAUGGGCGAAAGCCUGAUCCAGCGACGCCGCGUGAGUGAAGAAGUAUUUCGGUAUGUAAAGCUCUAUCAACAGGGAAAAAAAUGACGGUACCUGACUAAGAAGCCCCGGCUUACUACGUGCCAACAGCCGCGGUAAUACGUAGGGGGCAAGCGUUAUCCGGAUUUACUGGGUGUAAAGGGAACGUAGACGGUUAGCAAGUCUGAAGUGAAAGCCCGGGGGCU
rnacentral:rRNA from 1 species